CUGGCGGCGUGCCAACACAUGCAAGUCGAGCGGGACUUACGACUGAAUUGAAGACUUCGGUUGAAUAUGAAGAUGUAAAGUUCUAGCGGCGGACGGGUGAGUAACGCGUGAGCAACCUGUCCCUUACAGGGGGAUAACGCAGCGAAAGUUGUACUAAUACCGCAUGAGACCACGGAGUGACAUCAUUCAGGGGUCAAAGGAGCAAUCCGGUAAGGGGUGGGCUCGCGUCCGAUUAGAUAGUUGGUGAGGUAACGGCCCACCAAGUCGACGAUCGGUAGCCGACCUGAGAGGGUGAUCGGCCACAUUGGGACUGAGACACGGCCCAAACUCCUACGGGAGGCAGCAGUGGGGAAUAUUGGGCAAUUGGGGGGAAACCCUGACCCAGCAACGCCGCGUGAGGGAAGAAGGUUUUCGGAUCGUAAACCUCUGUCCUUGGUGAAGAGGAAGAGACGGUAGCCAAGGAGGAAGCCCCGGCUAACUACGUGCCAGCAGCGGC
rnacentral:rRNA from 1 species